UAAACGACUCUCGCAACGGAUAUCUCGGCUCUCGCAUCGAUGAAGAACGCAGCGAAAUGCGAUACUUGGUGUGAAUUGCAGGAUCCCGCGAACCAUCGAGUCUUUGAACGCAAGUUGCGCCCGAAGCCUUUUGGCCGAGGGCACGUCUGCCUGGGUGUCACUC
rnacentral:rRNA from 1 species